rnacentral:tRNA from 1 species
UUCCUGGUGUCUCAGUGGUAGAGAGCCUGCCUGCCAAUGCAGGAGACAUGGGUUUGAUCCCUGAUCUGGGAA